rnacentral:rRNA from 1 species
GACGAACGCUGGCGGCGUGCUUAACACAUGCAAGUCGAACGGAAAGGCCCUGCUUUUGUGGGGUGCUCGAGUGGCGAACGGGUGAGUAACACGUGAGUAACCUGCCCUUGACUUUGGGAUAACUUCAGGAAACUGGGGCUAAUACCGGAUAGGAGCUCCUGCUGCAUGGUGGGGGUUGGAAAGUUUCGGCGGUUGGGGAUGGACUCGCGGCUUAUCAGCUUGUUGGUGGGGUAGUGGCUUACCAAGGCUUUGACGGGUAGCCGGCCUGAGAGGGUGACCGGCCACAUUGGGACUGAGAUACGGCCCGGACGCCUACGGGAGGCAGCAGUGGAGAAUAGUGCACAAUGGGCGGAGGCCUGAUGCAGCAACGCCGCGUGCGGGAUGACGGCCUUCGGGUUGUAAACCGCUUUCGCCUGUGACGAAGCGUGAGUGACGGUAAUGGGUAAAGAAGCACCGGCUAACUACGU